rnacentral:rRNA from 1 species
GGACCCGCACAAGCGGUGGAGCAUGUGGUUUAAUUCGAUGAUACGCGAGGAACCUUACCAGGGCUUAAACUGUAGUAUGACCGGUCUGGAAACAGGCCUUCCCUUCGGGCAGAUUACAAGGUGCUGCAUGGUUGUCGUCAGCUCGUGCCGUGAGGUGUUAGGUUAAGUCCUGCAACGAGCGCAACCCCUAUUCUUAGUUGCCAGCGGUUCGGCCGGGGACUCUAAGAAGACUGCCAGCGCAAGCUGAGAGGAAGGUGGGAUGACGUCAAAUCAUCACGGCCUUACGUCCUGGGCUACACACGUGCUACAAUGGUAGAGACAGAGGGCAGCCACCUGGCGACAGGGAG